rnacentral:lncRNA from 1 species
UGAGCACAAGGGCCGGAGAAAUUAUUCAUCUCUUGAUGAGGGUCUUCUAGUUCGCAUUAAAUGAUCAAUAAUUUAGACGUGCAUAAAGUCGGAUAUUUUUUUUGUGAAAUUGGUAGGGUGUAAGACUAUUUUUUUAGACAAAAUUACAAAAAUCGUCCCUGUGAUAUUCAAUUUUUUUGGGGUUUAUUUUUUUUGGCUUCAUAGUUCUUUUGAAUUAGCUUCGUUGCAUUUUUUAUUUAUUUUUCAUUUUUCUUUCAUUCUCUCUCUCUCCCCGAAGCACCCUCCCAGUUCAUCUUCUGCAACCUAUUCUUCUUUACUAGUUUACCCUCAUCUCUUUUUUUUUCUCUCCAUCGCAAUGGUUGUGUUCUUCCUAGAAUUAAAAACUGGAAAAUGUUUGAAAAUUGAAUUCCAUCACAUAGGUGAUUAACAAUCAUUUUAUAUCGCCUUAAAUUAGUGGAUCUUCUUCUCUAUCAUCACCAGAGCAUACUCUGAUUCUGAUUUAGCUUCCUCAAUUUAAUGGAGCUUCUUGGUAAGGAUUUGUUUUCUUCAACAUCUAGCCGAAUCUGAUUUAAGGUUUCAAAACCCAAGGCUGUUUUAUUCAACAUCUAGCCGACUCUGAUUUAGGGUUUUAGAACCCAAGGCGGUGGCUCUGGUGUGUGAUUAAGCUCUCCAGAACCACAAUAAUAGGAUUGUUUCUGGGUAUUGUGUAGUUGCUGCCCUUCUAGUGAUGCCAAUAUUACAAUCGGUAGUUUUUGGGCCAGAGCAUAAGAUUUCCAUCACAUGUGUCACCAAGAACAAAGAGCUGAUUGCAAACUCAGUGGCCAAUUUGGGAAGAUCGCCAUUAACAUAUCUUGACUAGCAAGCUUACGACAAAGACGAAGCUCAGGUUAGAGACCGGCCAUGGAAACGCCUUCAAGAAAGCAUCGAUGUAAGCUACUAUAACAAUGGCUAAUUUAGGCUUUUUAUGGUUUUUCUAUUUCACGAAACAAUAGCAGUUUUUCCUGGUGGGUUCAUUGUCUUGAGUUGCAAGUCCAUGGUAUUGAAUCGAGAUUUGCAGGUUUGAUACAUCAGUAAUUCGAUUGAUUUCUCAUUUAUUUCAUCACCGUCAAUUGAAUUUAUUACUUGAUUUCAACACCUAAUUUGUCUCAUUUAUUACUUGAUUUCAACACCUAAUUUGUAUCAUAAUUUCAGUUUCUGCAAAGCUUUGUAUAGGAUCUAAGAUUUUUGAGGUUUUCGAGCUCGGAUUCGGUUCACAAGUAAUUCGGUUUCUGCAAGCUUGUUGUCCUUCAUCAUCUACAACGAAUUGAGGGAACAAAGGAUGCAGACGGCUCUAGUUUGUCCUCAUCUUCAUCUUUAUUGAGUUGUGUAUGUUUGUAUGUGUUUGUAUGUGUGUGUGAUCUGCGUAUGUAUAUGUGUUAUAUUCUAACUUUUUAGUAGAGUUUAGAGAGAUAAAAAAGGAAAUAGGAAGAAGAUGAAGUAAAAAGUGUGCACAUGAGAGAGAGAGAUAUGUGGGCCUAAAUUAUUUAUUUAUUUUCUUUUUCAUUUAAAUUAAAUAGAAAAAUAUAAAAAAAAAUAUAUCAGAAGGGCAUUAUAGUCAUUUUAAUUUUACAAGGGACCAAAUUUACGUAUAAACAUGGCCAAAAGGACCACGAAUCCAAAAAAUUCGGGGUUUGGACUAAAACCCCAAAAAAAUACAUACCACAGAGACCAUUUUUGCAGUUUUGUCAUUUUUUUAUGACACGAAAUUGGUAGGGUGUAAGACUAUUUUUUUUUGUUAUACAUACCACGAAUGAAAUCGUGGUCUCGUUGGCCACGAGCACGGAUCGUGCACACCACCCCGACGUUCCGUGGUCAGGCUUCUUCGUGUUCCCGACGAUGAAUUCAAACGAGAAAUUUGAUUGGUUGUUUGGUUUUUUGGCCGUUGAACGACAAUUUUGGCUGUUUUUUUUUCAAACUCAAUUUACUAAUUAUAAAUAAAACUUCUAUUAUACCAAAAUUUACACCUCAUUCUAUUCUCUAAAACCACAAAACACAUACACAUAGAUUCCACAAUACAUAUGGAAUUUUUAAAAAGUGUUGACUCGGAUGACGACAUAGAUUUUGUCGAGACAUUCUUCAAUGUUGUGUAACACAUUCACGACGAAGAAAGUUCGAAUGUAGCUCGUACAAUGGCGGUCGUCAAUUGUGAUCAUCAAGCCGCACACGAC